GUGCCAGCAGCCGCGGUAAUACGAAGGGACCUAGCGUAGUUCGGAAUUACUGGGCUUAAAGAGUUCGUAGGUGGUUAAAAAAGUUGGUGGUGAAAUCCCAGAGCUUAACUCUGGAACUGCCAUCAAAACUUUUUAGCUAGAGUAUGAUAGAGGAAAGCAGAAUUUCUAGUGUAGAGGUGAAAUUCGUAGAUAUUAGAAAGAAUACCAAUUGCGAAGGCAGCUUUCUGGAUCAUUACUGACGCUGAGGAACGAAAGCAUGGGUAGCGAAGAGGAUUAGAUACCCUCGUAGUCCAUGCCGUAAACGAUGUGUGUUAGACGUUGGAAAUUUAUUUUCAGUGUCGCAGCGAAAGCAUUAAACACACCGCCUGGGGAGUACGACCGCAAGGUUAAAACUCAAAUGAAUUGACGGGGACCCGCACAAGUAGUGGAGCAUGUGGUUUAAUUCGAAGAUACGCGCAGAACCUUACCAACACUUGACAUGUUCGUCGCGACUUUAAGAGAUUAAAGUUUUCGGUUCGGCCGGACGAAACACAGGUGCUGCAUGGCUGUCGUCAGCUCGUGUCGUGAGAUGUUGGGUUAAGUCCCGCAACGAGCGCAACCCUCACUUUUAGUUGCCAUCAUUAAGUUGGGCACUCUGAAAGAACUGCCAGUGAUAAGCUGGAGGAAGGUGGGGAUGACGUCAAGUCCUCAUGGCCCUUACGUGUUGGGCUACACACGUGCUACAAUGGCAUUUACAAUAGGAAGCAAGAUGGCGACGUCAAGCAAAUCCUAAAAAGAUGCCUCAGUUCGGAUUGUACUCUGCAACUCGAGUACAUGAAGCUGGAAUUACUAGUAAUCGCGGAUCAGCGCGCCGCGGUGAAUACGUUCCCGGGUCUUGCACACACCGCCCGUC
rnacentral:rRNA from 1 species